ACUCUCCGGGAGGGGCGCUUCCCGACGCCAAGUCUUACUGUUGCUCAGGCUGGAAUGCAGUGGUGCGCUCUCGGCUCACUGCAACCUCUCCCUUCUGGGUUCAAGCGAUUCUCGUGCCUCAGCCUCCCAAGUAGCUGGGAUUACAGACAAAAGGAUGCCACGGAGAAAGAAAAAAGUUAAAGAAGUCUCCGAAUCUCGGAACCUGGAGAAGAAGGAUGUGGAAACUACCAGUUCUGUCAGUGUGAAGAG
rnacentral:lncRNA from 10 species